rnacentral:lncRNA from 1 species
AUAUAUAUAAAGUGCAUAACAGUUACGUUGCUGCCUAUCUCAUUUUGAAAAACAAUAUCUGUAAUUUCCAUUUGCACUGGUGCUCUUAAAGGGCAAGAAGUAACAAAGCUGUCCAGCGAGCAUAUAUAUGUUCUUGUGCACCUCCUAUGGCACAGCUUGUUGCUGAGACACGAAGUCUCGCAACUUUCCAAGGCAUCCUACAGCCUCGGCUAAAGUUGCAGGACUUGAAUCUGCCUUUGCCAUUCCAUCUUCCUCGUCGCACUCUUCUUCAUCGGGACGAAUACUGGAAACAAUUUCCAGAUCUGAUAGUUCAGCACUGAUAACGAACUCACUGUCACACUGCACAAAGUCUUCACACGAAGUGUUGCUGUCAACAUCUGUCACCAGCUGUAUGUUGUUCGUUCUACUGAAAUAUUCGCUAU